rnacentral:rRNA from 1 species
GACGAACGCUGGCGGCGUGCCUAAUACAUGCAAGUAGAACGCACAGUUUAUACCGUAGCUUGCUACACCAUAGACUGUGAGUUGCGAACGGGUGAGUAACGCGUAGGUAACCUGCCUGGUAGCGGGGGAUAACUAUUGGAAACGAUAGCUAAUACCGCAUAAUAUUAAUUAUUGCAUGAUAAUUAAUUGAAAGGUGCAAUUGCACCACUACCAGAUGGACCUGCGUUGUAUUAGCUAGUAGGUGAGGUAACGGCUCACCUAGGUGACGAUACAUAGCCGACCUGAGAGGGUGAUCGGCCACACUGGGACUGAGACACGGCCCAGACUCCUACGGGAGGCAGCAGUAGGGAAUCUUCGGCAAUGGACGAAAGUCUGACCGAGCAACGCCGCGUGAGUGAAGAAGGUUUUCGGAUCGUAAAGCUCUGUUGUAAGAGAAGAACGGGUGUGAGAGUGGAAAGUUCACACUGUGACGGUAUCUUACCAGAAAGGGACGGCUAACUACGUG